CGCGUAGGCGGCGCGGCAAGUCAGGCGUGAAAGCCCCGGGCUCAACCUGGGAACGGCGCUUGGGACUGUCGUGCUGGAGUUCGGGAGAGGAGAGUGGAAUUCCCAGUGUAGAGGUGAAAUUCGUAGAUAUUGGGAAGAACACCGGUGGCGAAGGCGGCUCUCUGGACCGAUACUGACGCUGAGGCGCGAAAGCGUGGGGAGCAAACA
rnacentral:rRNA from 1 species